GCCUGGUGUGGUGAAAUCUAGUGACCGCUGGGAACUGACUCCCUACCAGAUUUUGAUAUCUCAACACCGGCAGCUCAAACAUCAACUGGCUCUUCAGUGUACAAGCCGAUGACCUGUUAGCAUGACCUCGCCUCUGGUAGCGAUCACAACACCAACCGUGCCGACAAAAAUUGGUCCUAAAACUUCUGACUUCGACGUUGCUAAUUGAAUCUGGGAGAGUUCAAAUUCCCGGGCAGUGGUAAUUUCUAAUUCCAUUAACUAAACUGCAUACUGGCGCAAAGCGAAAACUUGCGAAAAAAAACCAACAACACUGA
rnacentral:sRNA from 1 species